AUCGCGGUGCAAGGGAGUCGGUGCUGGGAUCUUGCAGUGUGUCUGGCUCCUCCUUUCUCUGCCCUGCUCGCUUGAGCUUCAGCAGAAAUCGACAUGGCUGGCGGUAAGGCUGGGAAAGACUCCGGAAAGGCCAAGACAAAGGCGAUUUUCCGCUCGCAGAGAGCCGGCUUGCUGUUUCCGGUGGGCCGUAUUCAUCGACACCUGAAAUCUAGGACGACCAGCCAUGGACGUGUAGGCGCGACCGCAGCUGUGUACAGCACAGCCAUUCUGGAGUACCUCACCGCAGAGGUACUUGAAUUGGCAGGCAAUGCAUCAAAAGACUUAAAGGUAAAGCGUAUUACCCCUCGUCAUUUGCAACUUGCUAUUCGUGGAGAUGAAGAAUUGGAUUCUCUCAUCAAGGGUACAAUUGCUGGUGGUGGUGUUAUUCCACACAUCCACAAAUCUCUGAUUGGGAAGAAAGGACAACAGAUGACUGUCUAAAGGAUGCCUGGAUUUCUUAUUAUCUUAGGACUCUAAAUACUCUAACAGCUGUCCAGUGUUGGUGAUUCCAGUGGACUGUAUCUCUGUGAAAAACACAAUUUUGCCUUUUUGUAAUUCUAUUUG